rnacentral:rRNA from 1 species
GACGAACGCUGGCGGCGUGCCUAAUACAUGCAAGUAGAACGCUGAAGGAGGAGCUUGCUCUUCUGGAUGAGUUGCGAACGGGUGAGUAACGCGUAGGUAACCUGCCUGGUAGCGGGGGAUAACUAUUGGAAACGAUAGCUAAUACCGCAUAAGAGUAGAUGUCGCAUGACAUUUGCUUAAAAGGUGCAAUUGCAUCACUACCAGAUGGACCUGCGUUGUAUUAGCUAGUUGGUGAGGUAACGGCUCACCAAGGCAACGAUACAUAGCCGACCUGAGAGGGUGAUCGGCCACACUGGGACUGAGACACGGCCCAGACUCCUACGGGAGGCAGCAGUAGGGAAUCUUCGGCAAUGGACGGAAGUCUGACCGAGCAACGCCGCGUGAGUGAAGAAGGUUUUCGGAUCGUAAAGCUCUGUUGUAAGAGAAGAACGAGUGUGAGAGUGGAAAGUUCACACUGUGACGGUAUCUUACCAGAAAGGGACGGCUAACUACGUGCCAGCAGCCGCGGUAAUACGUAGGUCCCGAGCGUUGUCCGGAUUUAUUGGGCGUAAAGCGCACGUAGGCGGACAUUUAAGUCAGGGGUGAAAUCCCGGGGCUCAACCUCGGAACUGCCUUUGAUACUGGGUGUCUGGAGUGUGGAAGAGGUGAGUGGAAUUCCGAGUGUAGAGGUGAAAUUCGUAGAUAUUCGGAGGAACACCAGUGGCGAAGGCGGCUCACUGGUCCACAACUGACGCUGAGGUGCGAAAGCGUGGGGAGCAAACAGG